AACAUCCAUUACGUACGGUCUAGAAAAUUCAACAGGAAAGUGGGUGCAUGCAUUGGUGCAUGUAUUAUUGUACAUGCACCCACUUUCCAAUUAAUAAAAAUAGAAUGGCCCAUGUUGCAUGGGCCCAUUGCCAAUGUGGGCUUAAUGCAAGCUCUCUCUUUUUUUUCUUUUUUUUGGGGAUAUUUUUUGUUUUUCGGAGUAUUUUAGCAGCAAACGAUGGUGAAGUCUAAGACUGCCUGAGACAGGGACUGAGACUAUCUACCAAACUUACCGAAGUGUUAGAAGCUUUAUAAGUUGCUGAUGAUGGCAUGAGAAAAAAAAAUUGACCCUGUGACACAAAGUAACCAAACGAUGGUGAAGUCUGAGACUGCCUGAGACUAUCUACCAAACUUACCAAAGUAACCAAACGAUGGUGAAGUCUGAGACUGCCUGUAGAUAGCGAUGGUGAUCCAAGCAACUAUAAAAAGCAUGGCUUUGUGGGUAUUUCAGAGCAGACGAACCUUAACCUCCAACUCCAAAAUCCCAAUAUUUCAACCAUGUUUGCCCCGUUGUUCAUGCUGUUUACCACCAUCAUCGCACUACUAAUUCCAACCCUCUCUUCAGAACCACCACCACCACCCCCCCUCCCCACAUUACCCUCCCUUACUCAGCCUCCACCACCGACAGUGCCAGCAUUUGAGAAUCCUCCAAUCCCACAAUUUCCCCCAUGUUGUCCCCCUUUCACUCCAUCACCACCAGAUGACUACAUAUGGCCUGCACGAAGUGAACCACAAUCAGUAUCCGUGUGGUUCGUGCUGGGGUGGAUCUUGGCUCUAAUAAUAGGAAUUAGCUUAAUCGCAUGGACGAUUUACAUUUGCCGCCUAAAAAUAAUAGGGCCGAAAGGGGACAAAGGGGACCAAGGGGAACAAGGGAAGCAAGGGCCUAAAGGGGACAAAGGGGACAAAGGGGACAAAGGUGACAAAGGCGAGAAGGGGCCGCCAGGGGAGAAGGGGCCGAAAGGGGAGAAAGGGGAUCCAGGCUGCAAGUGCCGCCACGGCUGCGGCGAGUGCAAUUGUUAGCUACAAGGAAAAGAUAACAUGGCCUUGGUAACUGACGGGCAUGUGCGAAUCUUGUGGAAUCAGCCAUCAUCUAAUAACAAAGACUAAUGUCAAAGUUUUGAAUUGAAUAUUACAAAUGCUAUAUUCAAUCGUGGGUUUACUAUGAGCUUUGAACAUUGGUUUUGAUGUGAUGUACUUGUAUGGUUUGGAAUAGUUGUUUUAAUUUGGAAUUAUAAUAUUUUGGCUUAUAAAUAAGGUUAGUGGUAUUUGUGGAAGUUUGGAGGUUAGUAUUUUGCGCUUGUUUUGAUAAUAAAUCAAACAAAGAGGAAAAAGCUUUUCAAUGGCAUGUGUUGCCUGAAAAAUGCUUUUAACAAGAUUGUUUGUUAUGCUUGGCCAUAUCCUUAGCUAUAUUCGAAAAGUGACUCUCUCAUUGAAUAAAAUGGAUUGUAUUGAAUA